rfam:Morus notabilis contig8632, whole genome shotgun sequence.
AUCCCAGAUAAAAAGUUACUUGUUUUAUCUGCUUCAUGGGAGGCAAACACUAACAAUGGAAGUUUUGCUGAUAAACACCUUGUUUUGCUGUUUUUCUGGAGGUGUUUAAUAGUAGCUUUCCAUACAUGA